rnacentral:rRNA from 1 species
AGUGAACGCUGGCGGCAGGCCUAACACAUGCAAGUCGAACGGCAGCACAAGAGAGCUUGCUCUCUGGGUGGCGAGUGGCGGACGGGUGAGGAAUGCAUCGGAAUCUGCCCAUUUGUGGGGGAUAACCUCGGGAAACCGGGACUAAUACCGCAUACGACCUACGGGUGAAAGCAGGGGAUCUUCGGACCUUGCGCAGAUGGAUGAGCCGAUGCCGGAUUAGCUAGUUGGAGGGGUAAAGGCCCACCAAGGCGACGAUCCGUAGCUGGUCUGAGAGGAUGAUCAGCCACACUGGGACUGAGACACGGCCCAGACUCCUACGGGAGGCAGCAGUGGGGAAUAUUGGACAAUGGGCGCAAGCCUGGUCCAGCCAUGCCGCGUGUGUGAAGAAGGCCUUCGGGUUGUAAAGCACUUUUGUUGGGAAAGAAAAGCAGCCGGUUAAUACCCGGUUGUCAUGACGGUACCCAAAGAAUAAGCACCGGCUAACUUCGUG